UGCCCCAUGGGAGAUCAGUG
rnacentral:piRNA from 1 species